rnacentral:rRNA from 1 species
GAUGAACGCUAGCGGAAGGCUUAAUACAUGCAAGUCGAGCGGUAGGUGGCUUCGGCCAUUGAGAGCGGCGCACGGGUGAGUAACGCGUACAUGACCUGCCUGUCAGAAGGGGAUAGCCCUGGGAAACUGGGAUUAAUACCCUAUGGUAUUGAUAUUAUGAAUGAUAUCAAUUAAAGUUGAGGCGCUGACAGAUGGAUGUGCGUCUGAUUAGCUAGUUGGUAGGGUAACGGCCUACCAAGGCGACGAUCAGUAGGGGGCGUGAGAGCGUGGUCCCCCACACGGGUACUGAGACACGGACCCGACUCCUACGGGAGGCAGCAGUAAGGAAUAUUGGUCAAUGCCCGCAAGGGUGAACCAGCCAUUCCGCGUGGAGGAUGAAGGCCCUAUGGGUUGUAAACUUCUUUUAGAUGGGAAGAAAUGCUAGAUGUAUCUGGUACUGACGGUACCAUCAGAAUAAGCACCGGCUAACUCCGUGCCAGCAGCCGCGGU